rnacentral:lncRNA from 1 species
CCCAAACUUCAUCGAAACAUGAUCUUUCCAAAACGAAGUGUGUUCCUCUCGAUCUAAGGACUAUCUCUGAGCUGCCUAGUGCUAGGUUUACCAGGUGUGCACCACACCUAAACCUAAAGUCUUGCCUAAGUCAAGCUACUAGAUCAAAGCCCCUCUUAAUAGUACGGUCAAAGGAAAACAAUGUCCUAAACUACUCUAAGUGCCCUUCUUCACCAUAUGGCACUUAGACCUAGUCUAGUCUUGACGAUGUCCAACCAUGCUUUGAAAACCGAAACAAUUUCCACUAUUAAGUAGGCAUGUACGUCCAUGUCCAUCGAGUACCUAUUACCAUGACCUAACACUAAUGACUUUGCCUCUGCGAAACACACGUUAGUCAUAGUAAUCAACAUUGUCAUUAAUCACCGAAAUUCAUUAGGGGCCUAGAUGCUUGUUCAUAAAUCUCUAAGUACUUUGAAUAGAAAGGGUAUGAAUCAUGAGCUAAGAACUAUAUCACAAUUGUCAACAACCAAGUCAAUAUGAUAUUCCUAUCAAGAUAUGUGACCCACAAGUAUAUAUGCAAGAAUUAGACUUUGUGACACUUUUACCCUUUUAAUGUCAUGAAUCAUGUCACACUUUUAAUGUCAUAAAUCAUAGAUCCAAGUCCUCUUGUUUUAUUCUUGUUUUAUUUUAUCUAAUAAAGCAAACAAGAGACAGAAGUAAUAAAAAAAUAAAAAAUAGAGGGGUAGUAGGAGUGGCAAACCAGUCAGAAGACAGGUAGACGUUGAGUGGAUGCUGAAUGGUGGGUCUAGGGCACCAAGGUGGGGUCGGUUGACCCCUGUCGGGCUUGCCCAUUGCUGCCAUUUGAAUUCCCAUUGUUGAUGAUGUACCUCUGCAAGCUUCUGUUCCCGUUGGCCG